CGGGGCGUAGCGCAGACUGGUAGCGCGUUUGGUUCGGGACCAAAAGGUCAAGGGUUCAACUCCCUUCGCCCCGCCCA
rnacentral:tRNA from 1 species